GACGAACGCUGGCGGCGUGCUUAACACAUGCCAGUCGAACGGAAAGGCCCUGCUUUUGUGGGGUGCUCGAGUGGCGAACGGGUGAGUAACACGUGAGUAACCUGCCACUGACUUUGGGAUAACUUCAGGCAACUGGGGCUAAUACCGGAUAGGAGUUCCUGCUGCAUGGUGGGGGUUGGAAAGUUUAGGUGGUUGGGGAUGGACCCGCGGCUUAUCAGCUUGGUGGGGGGGUAGUGUCUUACCAAGGCUUUGACCGGUAGCCGGCCUGGGCGGGUGACCGGCCACAUUGGGACUGAGAUACGGCCCAGACUCCUACGGGAGGCAGCAGUGGGGAAUAUUGCACAAUGGGCGGAAGCCUGAUGCAGCAACGCCGCGUGCGGUAUGACGUCAUUCGGGUUGUAAACCGCUUUCGCCUGUGACGAAGCGUGAGUGACGGUAAUGGGUAAAGAAGCACCGGCUAACUACGUG
rnacentral:rRNA from 1 species